CUAAGAAUCUUGCGCAAUGGGCGAAAGCCUGACGCAGCAAUUCCGCGUGGAGGACGAAGGCCCUCGGGUCGUAAACUCCUUUUGCGAGGGAAGAAGUUCUGACGGUACCUCGCGAAUAAGCCACGGCUAACUACGUGCCAGCAGCCGCGGUAAUACGUAGGUGGCGAGCGUUGUCCGGAUUUAUUGGGCGUAAAGAGCCCGCAGGCGGCUUGGUAAGUUUCGGGUGAAAUCUCCCGGCUCAACUGGGAGGGCGCCCGGAAAACUAUUAGGCUUGAGGCAGGGAGAGGGAUGUGGAAUUCCCGGUGUAGUGGUGAAAUGCGUAGAUAUCGGGAGGAACACCAGUGGCGAAGGCGGCAUCCUGGCCCUGUCCUGACGCUCAGGGGCGAAAGCGUGGGGAGCAAACCGG
rnacentral:rRNA from 1 species